rnacentral:rRNA from 1 species
UACGAAGGGUGCUAGCGUUGUUCGGAAUGACUGGGCGUAAAGGGUGCGUAGGCGGCUGGAUGCGUCUGAUGUGAAAUCCCUGGGCUUAACCUAGGAACUGCAUUGGAUACGGUCUGGCUAGAGCUUGCUAGAGGAAGAUGGAAUUGUGCGUGUAGAGGUGAAAUUCGUAGAUAUGCACAAGAACACCGGUGGCGAAGGCGAUCUUCUGGAGUAUAGCUGACGCUAAGGCACGAAAGCGUGGGGAGCAAACAGGAUUAGAUACCCUGGUAGUCCACGCUGUAAACGAUGAAUAUUAGAUGUCGGGAGGGUUACCUUUCGGUAUCGCAGCUAACGCAUUAAAUAUUCCGCCUGGGGAGUACGGUCGCAAGAUUA